GAUGAACGCUGGCGGCGUGCCUAAUACAUGCAAGUCGAGCGAACAGACGAGGAGCUUGCUCCUCUGACGUUAGCGGCGGACGGGUGAGUAACACGUGGAUAACCUACCUAUAAGACUGGGAUAACUUCGGGAAACCGGAGCUAAUACCGGAUAAUAUAUUGAACCGCAUGGUUCAAUAGUGAAAGACGGUUUUGCUGUCACUUAUAGAUGGAUCCGCGCCGCAUUAGCUAGUUGGUAAGGUAACGGCUUACCAAGGCAACGAUGCGUAGCCGACCUGAGAGGGUGAUCGGCCACACUGGAACUGAGACACGGUCCAGACUCCUACGGGAGGCAGCAGUAGGGAAUCUUCCGCAAUGGGCGAGAGCCUGACGGAGCAACGCCGCGUGAGUGAUGAAGGUCUUCGGAUCGUAAAACUCUGUUAUUAGGAAAGAACAAAUGUGUAAGUAACUAUGCACGUCUUGACGGUACCUAAUCAGAAAGCCACGGCUAACUACGUG
rnacentral:rRNA from 1 species